rnacentral:rRNA from 1 species
AUUGAACGCUGGCGGCAGGCCUAACACAUGCAAGUCGAGCGAGCGGCGGACGGGUGAGUAAUGUAUGGGGAUCUGCCCGAUAGAGGGGGAUAACUACUGGAAACGGUAGCAAAUACCGCAUACCAUCAGAUUUGCCCAGAUGGGAUUAGCUAGUGGGUGGGGUAAUGGCUCACCUAGGCGACGAUCCCGAGCCGGUCUGAGAGGAUGACUGGCCCCACGGGGAUGGAGACACGGCCCAGACUCCUACGGAAGGAAGCAGUGGGGAAUAUUGCGCAAUGGGGGCAACCCGGACGCAGCCAUGCCGCGUGAUUGAAGAAGGUCUUCGGGUUGUAAGGUUCUUUCGGUAGCGAGGCGUUAACUACAGAAGAAGCACCGGCUAACUCCGUGCCAGCAGCCGCGGUAAUAC